UCAAUUAUUACCCCGCUUAGCUCGAAGGCGCUGCAGCAGGGGGGUUACACUGACAAGAAAAACACAUCUUCAUUGAUACAGCACACUUUGUUCUUUUGACAAACAA
rnacentral:lncRNA from 1 species